GACGAACGCUGGCGGCGUGCUUAACACAUGCAAGUCGAACGGAAAGGCCCUGCUUUUGUGGGGUGCUCGAGUGGCGAACGGGUGAGUAACACGUGAGUAACCUGCCCUUGACUUUGGGAUAACUUCAGGAAACUGGGGCUAAUACCGGAUAGGAGCUCCUGCUGCAUGGUGGGGGUUGGAAAGUUUCGGCGGUUGGGGAUGGACUCGCGGCUUAUCAGAUUGUUGGUGGGGUAGUGGCUUACCAAGGCUUUGACGGGUAGCCGGCCUGAGAGGGUAGCCGGCUACACUGGGACUGAGCUACGGCACAGCCUAGUACGGGAGGAAGCAGUGGGGAAUAUUGCACAAGGGGCGGAAGCAUGAUGCAGCAAAGCAGCGUGGGGGAUGACGGCUUUCGGGUUGUAAAACGCUUUCGCCUGUGACGAAGCGUGAGUGACGGUAAUGGGUAAAGAAGCACCGGCUAACUACGUG
rnacentral:rRNA from 1 species